rnacentral:misc_RNA from 1 species
CACAGCACUGUUCAACGCUACAGCCGAGCAGCUCUCAAGGAGUCAGGAAACGUUUAUGAGGAGCUAACUACACGAGUGUGCAAGACAGUAGCAACACGGUGCCAGGAGGCGGUGUGGGGUGUCAGACCGAGCAGCCUGCCAGUAUAAGACCCUUCAUCCACACUUCCCCCACAGUUCUCUGAAGCCUGGCGACCAGUCUACAUCAGUGGUUACUACAGCAAAGGCCCUGUAGUGGUGGAGUACUGCUUGUCACACAUGAUGGAUCUAUUCCUGUGGAUUGUGCACUGAUUUAUUCUGUGUUUUUCUCAUUCUACUUCUGUGAUUGUCUAAAUACGAUGUUUUAAAGAAUUUCUUCAAAUCUGGAUUUAUAUUCAUCACUGAAGCUCUCAACACUGACUGUCAGAUGACAGCCAAUAUCUGGACUUAUUCAACAAGAUUAUAGAGUACACCUGUUUUUUAAUUUGAAUUUAUUCUCAAACCAACAUCAACAGUCUUUAUUCUAUCAUAAAUCAUUUUUUGUAAUUUGGUGUUUGCUGACUUGACAACGUGGGCAAACAGAGUUUCAACAGCUCAUCCAAAACAAGCUGAAGUGUUUCUCAUUUGAAUCCUGUUUUUUCAAUCAAGACGAUAUUUGUAACCAGGAAUCUGUUUUUUCUCCGUACUUUCUUGCAUUGAGUUAACAUCCUUGAACAACAUGGCUCAGAGAUUCAUUCAGGUUGUGAUUCUAUUUAUCAACAUGGGAGUGUUUGCCACAUUUCUACCACAAAAAGAUGUGCAUGUCGCUGAAGAAACCUGUGUCAUGAGCUUUGUAAUUCCCAGAGAAAAAGUGAAAAAUUCAUGCCAAUUAGAUGAAAGGGUGAAACAACGAAUGAAUCGGAUGGAAACUAAGUUAAACAUGUACAGACGAGAGGUGAGCCAACUUCAAGGUCGUCUUCAGAAGGAAAGACAACUCUGUCAUGACCGACUUCAGGCCCUUGAGGCCAAAAUGGCCACCUUCGAUCCAACGACCUAUCACACGUUGGCGAAGAAGUUAGAAAAUCUGGAAAUAGUUCUUAAGAAGGGAAGCGACACCUUGGAGCCAGUUGAUAGGAGAUAUUCCAAUGGUGCCCUUAACAAAGGCAAGGGUUUUAAGACAAAUCAAUUAUAUGACAACGAAAAUCUGGAAAGUCUUGUCAAGCCAAUUGUCAUAUCCGAAAUUGAAAACUACUUGGAGAACUUCACAAGGAAGUGUGAGGGUACAGAAAAAACUAAAGAUAUUGAGAACAAUGAAAUCGUGUUAGAUAUGUUGCCUCGAAACGAUCAGUCAUAUGCCGACAAUGAAGACAUGAACGGAAACACAAGCAGAACUCAUGACAUGAUCAAUGAAAUAGAAAACCUCCAAAACAAACUAAACCAGACGGGAGAAGCGCUGGCUUCAGCAGUUGGGAAAAUACUCAAAAACGUAACGAUAAAAGGCAACAGUGUUGUUUAUCGCGACAAUGUCACACAAUCAUCAAACAGUUCCCAGAACUCAGACCCAACAAAACAAUCAAGGGAGAUAACCUACAAGAAGGAUAAAGCUUCCUCAAGGAUUUCAGGAAAUGACGGAGGGUCUGACAGUCAAAACGAUGCUCAACAUGAAAAUGAUAAUAUGUACGUCGCUAACGUGUACUCAGAUGAACUGGAGGAGCUACUCCGAUCCGAAAUCAACAACCUUCUGCAAUCUCGCAUGGAGGAGGUCAUCAGCCUCAUGAGAAAGCAAUCGUUGAAACUUGUGACAGCCGUUGACCAGCAAGGUAAAGACAUCGAUAAAAUAGAGGAAGGACAAGAGGAAAAGAUGAAACGGAUGCAGGACAGAGUUGACGGAAUCAAACUCGAGCUAUCAUCCAUCUCACAGGCAGUUCAAGAAUUUUAUGCCAAAAUGGAAAAAAUGCAGAGUUUGCAAGUUAUUGUGGAAGAAAUUAAGAAAAACAUGAGUUCUAUGUCAGCUUCGCAAAAUCAAGACAUGGUGAGCAGAGUCGACGAGCAUGGAAAGAAGUUGCGCACACUUGAUCGGUUGCGAGGUAUCUUCCAACAGUCCCUGCAGCAUUACCGAAAUGAGAGCAAGAUGGCGUACACAGACAUGCAGCAUAAACUUGCAGGCCUCGAGGUCAACCUGGCUCGCGAAUUGUCCUCAGAGUUGUAUUCGAACAUCACCUCUCAGUUCAACUGGCAAUUUGAUCGUUUUAACAAUACACUGAAAAGCAAGUCAAAUUCCAUGGAGACUGCAGUUCGUAACCUCGAAGAUAAUUCGGUUCUUCUUCAAAUGGAUAUCAAGAACUUAGAGAGGCGGCAUAAGUCCAAAACAGGAAAGCUGGAGGAGGAUUAUGGGAACUUGAAAAAUCGUGUAGAGAGAGUUCAGAACCAGAACCGGAAAUUGAUUGAAAGUGUCAGUAACAUGAAGAGUGAUCAAAGGACGCUCCAAACCCGGUUGAACUCAUCAUCGUCAACACUGGCCAGUUUAGAAAUUGAAUUCCGGCUCAGUGUGACCGACACGUGGGUCGAGUAUGACUUUGAAUAUGACACGUCACGUACAGCAUGUUUUGGGAAGCAAUAUAUCCGGAAGACAAGGUACAAAAAUGGACGUCUGGCAGGUGUGGUGUUGUGUACCAAUAAUCGCUAUAAAAUCUUGUUAGCUAAUUGUGUGACUGAAAAGUUUUUAAAUGUCGGCGACAUUAGCGGUUUUGGAGAGGAUCACUGUGAAUUUGUUGGGACCACAAAAUCCUCCAUCAUUCGCCUCAGUCCUCCUGCCAUAUCAGCGAAAACAGAAGAAGGAUUUGCCCGAGACAGCUGGGGUCAGGAGCCACGCAAGAUGCACCUCAAUUUUCUGCGUCCCUCGCCUGCGUGGUACGAGUGUGGGGUGCAGAUCCCCUAGAAGACGCUACACGACACUAUCUUCCAUCUUCUACUAGCAACCGCUAAAUGAGACGCCAUUUUAUAUCAUCUCCUAGCAACCAUUACACAACACCCAGCUUCCAUCAUCCCUAGCAACCACUACAUGACACCAUUUAAUAUGCCCUAGCAACCACUACAUGACACCAUCUAAUAUCCCCCAGGCAACUAUGACAUGACAUCUUCCAUCAUCUCCCAGCAACCACUACAUGACACCAUCUAAUAUCCCCUAGCAACUAUUACACGACAUCUUCCAUCAUCGCCUAGCAACCACUACAUGACACCAUCUAAUAUCCUCUAGCAACCACUACAUGACACCAUCUAAUAUCCCCUAGCAACUAUUACAUGACAUCUUCCAUCAUCGCCUAGCAACCACUACAUGACACCAUCUAAUAUCCCCUAGCAUCCACUACAUGACACUAUCUAAUAUCCCCUAGCAACCACUACAUGACACCAUCUAAUAUCCCCUAGCAACCACUACACAACACCAUCUAAUAUCCCCUAGCAACCACUACACAACACCAUCUUCCAUUUUGUCAAAGUCAUCUGGAUGGCCCCCAGAGAUGGGUCCUGUUUCUUGGACAAGCCAGCCACUGGUCAGAUGCCACUGUCUGCUGACUGUGUGUUAUGUGACCGAACUAUGAGGAACAGAUAAGGAGGAAACUGACAAUGGGAUCUGUACAUACUUCAACAGAAUAUUCUCAUCAUAUAUCUUAAUACUGUGCCUUACACUGCACAGCAAGUGUUAAAGGGUUAACCUAUAACCCAGACUGUGCCUUUCACUGUGCAGGGAGUGUUGAAGGGUUAACUUAGAAGCCAGACUGUGCCUUUCAGUGCAGAGAGUGUAAAAGGAAUAACUGAUAACCCAGACAAUGCCUUACAGUGCUGCAAGUGUUAAAGGGUUAACUUAUAAAAAAGACAGUGCCUUACAGUGCAGCAAGUGUUAAAGGUAAAUGACCAGGAUAUCACCAGUACCUCAUGGGCAGUUGGUACAAGAACACCUUGUUUAUCAAGAUGGUCACACGGAGUCGUAUUGUACGACACAAGGAAAAAGAAGGAGCAGUGGAAAGAGAUGUCAAUUUACUAGUGCCACAGAACACUUACAGAACAUGUCAUUAGAUAAUCGAUUUCAGUAUAUGUAUUGCAAUAUUAGUAUGUCACUUCAUUUACAAAAAUAAAUGUUUUGUUUGAUAUGCAUUACUUAGAAGUUGAAGGAUGACAAAGUAGACACAGUUUAUGGAUAACAACUUCUUUAAUAACUGUGAAGACGAUGUUUCGGUAGAGAUCCUUAUACCGUUGUCAAGCAAGACUGAAUGAUGAUGUUGUUGCAUUAAGUGUUUAAGAGGUCGCCUUCUGCCUAAGCAAUUUCGGCUGACCUGUCCCUCUUUGGGACUCCUGAGUGUGAGUAGGGGACACAUAUCUACACAUACUGUUAUAAGUAUGUUCAUUAUAAACUUAGUUUACUGUAUGUUUUUACAUAAGACAUUUUUAUUUCUAGGACUAAAUGUUAGUUGACCAAAAGACCAACAGUACCACAAGUAUUCAUAUAGUGAACAUUGAAAAUGCAUAGAACAAGGAUGGGUUUACAUUCGAUUGAAGUAUUUCAUCAUAGUUUUAUAUCAGCAUCUUAGCCCCAAUUUAGUAGGACAUGUGCGCCUACUCAAGCUCUCCUGGCAAUUCAAAUAAUCAAGGCACAGAACUUCAAUAGUGUGAGCUAUAUAUAUAAAAUACUAGGCCAAGGGUACUUCAAUCAUAGCUAGUACUAAGCUCAACCCAACCAUGUUAUACUGCCCUUGGUACACCAUAAACUAGGAAAGGGGUUAAAAAUCCUAAACACUUGUUUUUGCCAAAACCUGACAAAUUAGCACCAAUACAUGUGCUAAUCAUGAGAAGCUAACUACCUAAAGAAACUUACAACUCAAAAACUAUUCCGGUCAUGUUUCCAUGUUAUUAAUGUUGGCGCUUUAGGCAUAAGCUGAGUUGAAGAGAAUGCACUGCAGUGUCUGUCCUUGACAACUGAAAGUAGGUCUCGAAAUCUACCAGCUUAGCUUUGCAGACAUUGAAGUACUUUAAACCAGCUUAAAACAUCAUUAUAGCGAAUGUAAACAACACGAUUACAGCUGGAGAAAUGGUUACACACUGAUGAAGGCGUCAUUGCCUUGUGUAGUUCUCAUUGGCUGUUCGAGAGUGGAGUCGGGAGAUAAAACCCCCUAAGUUUUGUAAUGGAGUUUCUUGAUAAUAGUCGGCAUAAAACAUAUAUAUUUCUUGUUGUGGAAAUCUAGUUUUGUUGUGAUUGAAAUAAAAAAUUUAAUGAUUAUUUAAUGAUACUUAAUGAUAUUACAGUAUAUGUCUGUAAAAGAACAAAAGUUUACUGAAAUUCUUAACAAACAUAAACAUUAUUUUCACUGCAGUACUGCUGAUUUUUAAUUUCCUUCUUAAUUAUAAUUAGUUGGACAAAUUCAUUAAGUCAACUCUCAUCUUAAAUCCUUUUCAAUGGAACUAAAUUUAUUCAUUAGAAGUUUGUUGUUUGCCGACUGCCCUCCAUAAGAGUGAGUGCGUAUGGUUUUACGCCGCUUUUAGCAAUAUUCCAGCAAUAUCACGGCGGGGGACACCAGAAAUGGGCUCCACAUAUUGUACCCGUCAGGAAUCAAACCCGGGUCUUCGGCGUGACGAGCGAUCGCUUUAACCGCUAGGCUACCCGACCGCCCCUCCCUCGAUAAGACGUGAUGUCAUCAUGAAAUAGUAAUGGUUAAAAUGGCCUACUGACAGAACACUGGAUUCCUAGUUAGGUCUUUUUAACUAAACUUCCACUGGAGAACUGAGAUGUUCGCUUCAGUAUCACACAAUGUGUAAUACAGCUGUAUGUUUGUUAAACGGGUGAACUCUUCACGGGCGAGCAAUAAAAUGCCAAAACAACACCCUUGAUAAAUGAGGAUGGUAUUUAACAUUUGAUCCAAUACAACUAAUAGUCAGUACCGUUCACUUGGAACUCUAUUGUGGGUAAAUAUUCUAUUGUCUAGGGCUGGGAUGAGUCCAAAUUUACUACCCGGGUACCCGCUGUUGGUCUCAAGUUGGGUAUAAAAUGUUCAGUUGGGAAUUGUUUUACCAGAACCCUGGCAAAAAGUAUUUAGAUAUAGUAUAAUACGAUCUGAUCAUGUAUACACUGAAGUUGACUGAAGCUUUGUCUUUACUCAAACAUAAAAAUUCAGAAAUAGUCAGAAACAAAUGGAAACAUUAGCAACUUGUACUUGUGUAACCAUGGAAUUUUAUUAUUAUUGUUAUUAAACAAUAUAUCACAUGACUAACCACGGGUCAGGUAGUCCUGUGGGUACCCGGGUCCUACUCAGGACCUACCCAACCCAAGUUCCCCAUCCCAGCCCUACCACUGUCAUGUUAGAAUUGAUGUUGAUAAAAAAAUGCAGAAUAUUAAAAGUGCCUUCAUGUUUUUAUAUAUACAUGUAUGUAAAUAUGUUUUACAAAAUAUUCAUAACGAUAUAAUAUGGUAUAUGUUAUAUGUCUGAAGUGGUAUCAAUAUAUGUUUUCAUUGUUUAUUUUGAUACGAAGGAGUGACUUUUCUACGUCACUCAAUGUGUCAUCACUUUGCAGCUGGGUAUUUAUUUAAGGUUUCUAUAUCUUUAGUCUGUGCUAUUGUUGUUUGACAUAUUGUUUGACAUGCCAUGUCAAACACUGCAAAGACUGUAAAUAGAUUGUGAUGAACUGUUUACUGCAAUAAAUGGCUUAACAUGAAA